rnacentral:rRNA from 1 species
AACGUAGGUUCCGAGCGUUAUCCGGAUUUACUGGGCGUAAAGCGUGUUCAGGCGGCUCAGCAAGUCGGGCAUGAAAUCUCUCGGCUCAACCGGGAGGGGCUGUCCGAAACUGCUGGGCUUGAGGGCAGUAGAGGGUGGUGGAAUUCCGGGUGUAGUGGUGAAAUGCGUAGAUAUCCGGAGGAACACCAGUGGCGAAAGCGGCCACCUGGACUGUACCUGACGCUCAAACACGAAAGCUAGGGGAGCGAACCGGG